UCAACUGAUUCUAGUCAUCCUUA
rnacentral:miRNA from 1 species